AUAUUUACUAUUACAAAAUUUAAAGAUGUAUAGAAUCAAUGUGUUCAAUUUAAGAAAGACAAAUGUAUUUGUCCGUUUUAUAUCACAAUUUAAAAUGCAACGUAGUGAUUGCAUACCCAAAAUUAACAUACAGCAGUUAAGAGAUCCCAAAGCGUGUGCCAUUCGUGAUAAAGGGCUUGUUUUGGGAGUAUAUUACAACGAUCAUGUUAAAGAGGAAUCUGCCAUUCUUACGCCGAGCGCCCAGAAAUAUAAUGAAGCUUGCGACGGAAAGUUGUGGAGACAAUUAAAAUUAGCGCCCAUACCAAGACUCGGCGAAACUAGGAUAUUUUAUGAUUUAGAUCCAGAAUUUGCGUACGUCGCUGUAGCUGGACUUGGAACAGAGUGUUUCUCAUUUAACUCUUUAGAACAAUUGGAUGAAAGAAAAGAAGCAAUAAGAAUAGCAGCAGGAACAGGAGCCAAAGCAUUGAAUGCGUUGCGACCGACCUACAUACACGUGGAAUCUUUCGGAAACGCUGAAGCAGCAGCAGAAGGUGCGAACUUAGCUGUUUGGCAGUUUAGGGAAUACAAAAGUAUAUCGAACCAAAACGUAGUACCAAACGCAAAGUUUGUUUUACACGACAACUGCGAUGUGGAGGGCUGGAAUAUUGGCCAAAUAAAAGCAGAAUCGCAAAAUUUAGCAAGGUACUUGCAAGAAAUGCCAGCUAAUUAUUUAAAUCCGACUUCUUUUGCUAAAAUUGCAGUAGAUUUACUUUGUGAAUUGAAUAUAAACGUAGAAGUAAAGACGCAAGGGUGGGCAGCAAGUCAUGAGAUGGGAGGUUUUGUGGCUAUUGGAAGAUCCUCUAUCCAACCACCUCUUUAUGUUGAAAUAAGCUACUACGGUGCUAAUGAACUCCAACGACCUAUCGUAUUGAUAGGAAAAGGUGUAACAUUUGACAGUGGUAGCCUAGAUUUAAAAACUCCAAAAGAUUUACAGUAUAUGAAAGGAGAUAUGGCGGGUGCAGCUUGUGUUCUCGCUAUAAUAAGAGCAGUGUCAAUGUUAAAACUACCAGUUAACAUUAGGGGAAUUCUACCACUUUGCGAACUAAUGCCAAAUGGAAAGAGUCCGAAAUUUGGAGACUUAGUGAACAGCGGUAACGGUAAAUCUAUUCUCAUAAGACUACCAUCUCGUGAAGGGCGGUUGCUCGUUGCAGACUCUUUAGUGUACGCGAGAAAUUACUGGCCCAAAUUUAUCAUCGACAUAGGAACGAUGUCGAAAGAGUUAUUACAUACUCUCGAUGGUGCUGCAUGCGGUUGUUACACUAAUUCAGAAGAGUUGUUUUGUUAUCUGGAAUUAGCGAGUAGUCAAACGGGUGAUAGAAUUUGGCGGAUGCCGCUUUGGAAAUUCUACGAAGACCGUGUAAAAGACACUAGUUCGGCAGAUGUAGCGAAUACUGCUCAACAUAAAUAUGGCGACUCGCCCAACUGUGCGGCAUUCUUAAAACAGUUCGUAUGCGAUAGUCAAUGGAUACAUUUGGAUACCUACAAUGUAGCAUAUAGUAAAGGGCAAGAUUUCCCUUAUUUGGGAAGAGGAAUGACAGGUCGGCCUACUAGAACCAUUAUAGAGUUCCUCUUCCAAUUGAUUGCGGAUACUAAACUUUAGUUAACAAUUCUAAUCGAAUUUCCUGUCGUAAAUUGUAUGUGUAUAUCUAUUGUAAUUGUGUAAGAAACAAAUUUUCGAAAUAAAUCAACAAUUUUUGCUGUCAAU